CCACAUCGUUUAAAUUCCGCGAACCAUUAAAUAUCCAAUAUAUUUGUGUUGAAAAUCCGUUUCGACUUAUUUCUUUUAUGUUAGCUUCGUAAAGCUAUAUUAACGACGUAUUAGGUAACAUUACUUUAUCAUCAUGCACAUUCUAAUAUUAAUUAAUUGGUCAUCU